UACGUAGGGGGCUAGCGUUGUCCGGAAUCAUUGGGCGUAAAGAGCGUGUAGGCGGUCCGGUAGGUCCGUUGUGAAAGUCAGGGGCUCAACCCUUGAAUGCCGGCGGAUACUGUCGGGCUAGAGUCCGGAAGAGGCGAGUGGAAUUCCCGGUGUAGCGGUGAAAUGCGCAGAUAUCGGGAGGAACACCUAUGGCGAAGGCAGCUCGCUGGGACGGUACUGACGCUGAGACGCGAAAGCGUGGGGAGCAAACAGG
rnacentral:rRNA from 1 species